rnacentral:miRNA from 1 species
UCUGGAUCGAUAAUGUAAACCU